rnacentral:rRNA from 2 species
UUUCGAAGGAACGCUAAUACCGCAUACGUCCUACGGGAGAAAGUGGGGGAUCUUCGGACCUCACGCUAUCAGAUGAGCCUAGGUCGGAUUAGCUAGUUGGUGAGGUAAAGGCUCACCAAGGCGACGAUCCGUAACUGGUCUGAGAGGAUGAUCAGUCACACUGGAACUGAGACACGGUCCAGACUCCUACGGGAGGCAGCAGUGGGGAAUAUUGGACAAUGGGCGAAAGCCUGAUCCAGCCAUGCCGCGUGUGUGAAGAAGGUCUUCGGAUUGUAAAGCACUUUAAGUUGGGAGGAAGGGCAGUAAGUUAAUACCUUGCUGUUUUGACGUUACCAACAGAAUAAGCACCGGCUAACUUCGUGCCAGCAGCCGCGGUAAUACGAAGGGUGCAAGCGUUAAUCGGAAUUACUGGGCGUAAAGCGCGCGUAGGUGGUUCGUUAAGUUGGAUGUGAAAGCCCCGGGCUCAACCUGGGAACUGCAUCCAAAACUGGCGAGCUAGAGUAUGGCAGAGGGUGGUGGAAUUUCCUGUGUAGCGGUGAAAUGCGUAGAUAUA